UUUAGGAGCUAGCCUUUAAAAUGCCCUGUGCCGUUGACCUCUCCCUGUAAGCAGGCGUCAGGUCUCCCCUUUCUAGCCUCUUUUGGGCCGCUGGCACUUGCUGGGCAAAGAGACCACCCUCUACUGAGCGGAAUGGAGGUCUCUCCUUUUCAGCGCUUUAGCCUCUGGCCUAAUGUAAUGCCCCUGGCUUAAGGACCACCCUGUAAGGAGGGUUUGGGUCUGCUUUAUCAUGCUGCUUUAGCCACAGGUUGCUUUGACAUGCCAGGCAGAAGGACCCGCCCUGUAAGCAGGUGGUAAGGUCUUCUCCCUCUCCCUCUUAAACCAGUGGGGCUUUUAGGUGCCUGUGGCUGAGGGAGCACCCUUUAAGAAGGGUUGCGCCUCUCUCUUUUUCUCUUAGUCCUAGUAAACUGCCCGAGAAGUGAUUUCUCCUUGGCUUUUUUGAAAUUUGCAGUCCAAUCGUAUUUGUGACCUCUUGAA